UCAUUGUGUUGUACAAAGAUAGAUUGGGAAAGUAUGUUUGUUGACUGAAUUCUACCUAGCUGUGGUAUAAAUCAACCAUUUUAUAGUGCGUUUGCAAGUGUUUUUUUGUGUGUCAUAGUUUUAUACAUAGGUGUUUUUGUUAUCAUUGUUUGAUAUUGGAGUGACUUGCAAAUAACGAUUCUGAUUGAUAUUUCGGGAUAUACUUUGGAAACUGUGAUUUGUCUAUUUAAGUACUAGACCAUUUGAUUGCUCGGGUUUACACGUUACA
rnacentral:lncRNA from 1 species